rnacentral:rRNA from 1 species
AAAUUGUUGAAAGGGAAGCGUUUGUGACCAGACUUGCGCCGGGCAGCUCAUCAGGGGUUCUCCCCUGUGCACUCUGCCCGGCUCAGGCCAGCAUCGGUUCUCGUGGGAGGAUAAGAACGGUGGGAACGUGGCCCCCCUCCGGGGGGGUGUUAUAGCCUGUUGUACGAUACUCUCGUGGGGACCGAGGUUCGCGCUCCGCAAGGAUGCUGGCGUAAUGGUCAUCAGUGACCCGUCUUGAAACACGGACCAAGGAGUCGUCCAUUAGAGCGAGCGUUUGGGUGUAAAACCCGCACGCGUAAUGAAAGUGAACGCAGGUGAGAGCUUCGGCGCAUCAUCGACCGAUCCUGAUGUCUUCGGAUGGAUUUGAGUAAGAGUUUUAACGGACGGACCCGAAAGACAGUGAACUAUGCUUGUAUAGGGUGAAGCCAGAGGAAACUCUGGUGGAGGCUCGCAGCGGUUCUGACGUGCAAAUCGAU